UAAAUUAAUUUCGCACUCCUUAAUUCUCACCAAAAUCGGUUAUGAUCUCUCUUAUCUGACCAGAUCGCACACCACCACAACGCACCGCCAGUCAUCGUAGCACAUCCCUGACCGAGUAUACAAUUAUGUAUAUGAUUUUGGUUUGCAGCAAGAUGACGAGACUUCUCUCAUGGUUGGAAGAAGGUUUUAAUAUCUAGUUGAUGAAUAACACUUUCUUGUGGAUGAACAAGAUGUUGAUAGUGACACCAAGAAGAUAUUAGUUGUGUCCAUAUUCUUUGAGACCAUGCCAUAUAGAUUGGAUGAGAGCACAGGUUACAUAGACUAUCAUCAGGCAGCAAAUAUCAAUGCUGAUACUGAAGCCCAAGAAUCAAUGGUAAUGAAUAUCAUCUUUUGAAGAAUGAAUACCCCAGCCUAGAGUGCGCUAAAUAUAGUGGUAUUAAUGCUAUGGUGCUAUUUCUGUCUACUACUCUUUUUGUUAUGUUAUUAUGUUCUUAAACAACAUUCUCCUUCUUGCACCCUUUUUACACGGUUGUCUACAAAUUCAGAAAAUACUUGCUAAUAUGAUAUUUACCUGAAUUAUGUAUUAGUUGAUCAACUUAUUUUUUAGCUUUGUGAAUCACGCGUUUCAUUCUAGACUUUUCCAUUGCCUCUUUGUUUUUUUAGUUAGGGGUUGGAUGGACUGGUAGAGAGUCAAAGAAAUUGAUUAUAUUUUCUGAAAAUAAUUUCUUAUUUUUUUUCUAUCCAUUUUUGCAGAUGCUUAUGUUUUGUAAAAAUAAUGUCCACUUUUGGUUUAUAUUAUUCUUUAAAUUUGAUGCUGUAAUGUUUUCCCAAAGACGAACUUACAUGAGAUGUACUGUUUGAAUUGAAAGGUAAGGUUGCUAAACAUGUACUAGAGGAAGUUGCAAAGGUAAUUUUUUCUAACUUUGGGUGUUAGUUAGUUCCUAAACAUGUUUACCUAAAAUAACUAACAUGUACCCCAAGGCGUUCGUUAAUUUAAAGCUAAUUAAGUUAGUUCAAAAGAAAAAAAAUAAAAAAAAAAACUUAAAGCUAAUAGCUAGCUCGAUAUUAUAUUGGUGAGAAUUUAUUUUAGUAGCAUCAUGUUGAAAACGAUCGAUGUGAUGUCGAAAAUGAUUGAUGUAAGCAUUAAUUGGUUUAGUAAAAAUUGAUAGAAUUAUUUAAGGAAAAAAAAGUUAUAUGUUGGUAAUAUUAUUUCAGAAAUAUUUAACAGAAAACUAACUCAAUUAUUAUUAUUUCAUAAGAUUUCAAAUCAACACCAUGAAUAGAAAUGUUAUUUUCCCCAUUGAACCCCACUAUUGUACAACUAUAUAGUGGUAAUAUGAAUGUUAAUAUACUUCAAAUAUGUUAUUGGAGUAGCUUUCAUUAUGUGAUUUUACUCAUUACUCUUGAACCUGCAGGUCCUAGGAGUUAUCACAAUUCUUAAGAUUACCAGGUAGAUAUAGCUAACCUUCAUUAGAAAUAAAAUGUUUAAGUGACUACAUAUUUUGACCACAUAGUUUGUAUAUAUACUAAAUUAUCUGCAUCCAGUUUUGUGUCUGUACUAUACUCUAUAUGAGAUAGCUGCAGCUUCAUGUUUAAGGUUGAUACAUGAUAUCAAGCUAACCAAUGCUAUGUAAUUAAUAUAUAGUUGGAAAAGUAAAUAGUCAGAUGUUCAACACAACCUAAAAAUUGUUAUCAACACUUUCUCGGCUCUGUCAUAGCAUUGUGUCUAAAAUUCAGAUGUUCAACAUUAAACUUUUAAAUAUCAAAUUUAAUUUUUGCUGCUUACUAUCUCUUAUUUGGGUUUAUCUUGCAUAAUCUUCAUCUAAUUUUCCUUACUUGGUUUACUUCUUGUUAAUAUUGGUAUUUGAGCAUUUAGGGUUUUUUUAGUACAAUUUUUGCAGAGGACGUUCGGGGGAGCACCUAAGAAGAGCGAUAAUACUCGCUAUUAUGAAGUUUUAGGAGUUCCUAAGACUGCUUCUCCUGAAGAUCUUAAGAAAGCUUAUAAGAUAGCUGUCCUUAAGAAUCAUCCUAAUAAGGGUGGUGAUCCUAAAAAGUACGUACUAUACAAUAUUGGAGACAUGGGCUGGAGUGGAGGUGACAACAUCCGUUGGUUUUGGAUAGUGUACAUCAAAAAGCGGUGAUUUUUCAUAAUGGGGUAUGAAGGAAGCUCAUCAAUGAUGUCAUCUGCGACAAUUUUGUUUUUCUAUUGCCAAUUAAUGGGGUAUUGGUUACUCUCUUGUCAACUAAUUAAAUUUUUUUCAAUGUAACUUUGUUUUGUAUUUUUUUCCUUAAGAUUUUCAUUUUUAUUGAGUUUUUUGAUAUGUGAUUAGAUGGAAUGUAUGAUUGUUUUCAAUAGAAUAGCUACAGCUUAGACUAAUGUUCUAUAGGAAAAUGUCCAUGGAAAAACAUUCAACAUACAAUAAAUUUGCCUAAUUUCAAA